GGGCCGUUAGCUCAAUUGGUAGAGCAGCGGACUCUUAAUCCGUAGGUUGAAGGUUCAAGUCCUUCACGGCCCACCA
rnacentral:tRNA from 3 species